rnacentral:misc_RNA from 1 species
AAAUAAGGUAAUAUUUCCCAAAAAUAUAAUUAAAAAGGUGUACAAUUUCUUAUUGUUCUUGUUGGGCACAUUCUCAAUUUUUUUCCUCUAUGCAUAACAGUGUGUAAAAGCCUCUUGAUGGGACAGGACUUCCUACAACAGCAAGAUCAGUUCAUUUGUCCAGCAAAAUAAGCUCUAAGCUAUAACUUAACUGCUAGAACUUCAAGAGUCUUUCAGGUAACUGUUGAAGAGGUGAAGUGAUCCAUUCCAAGCAUCGUCCUGCUUGGAGGUGGGGUAAUGAUACAAACAGAAAAUUGACGCCAGGGUAGUUCUCAGGCAGCAGGAGCAUGUUCCUGGAUGGCUGCUGCCAAUUUAUUACGAUCCUCCACUGUUUUCGUUCUUAUCAAAAAUGUUCGUGCAACAACAUCAUCAUUGUCACCAUCACCCGAGGUAUGGAAUAUUGCAACAACGGAAUUCUUCUGCAAGUUUGUUUUAAUGCCUUGAUACAACAAUGCAUUAAGCAAAAUUUUUCCAACAUCAUUUCGUAUCAGGAUAGUUGGUUUGGAUUCCCGGGUACCCUUGCUAACACCUUCUUUACACUUGAUAGAAAGCUGACCCGUGCCCCUGUCUUUCCAUGCAUCUUUAUCCACUGGAUCAGUUGACUUCACAUAAAGUUUACAUUUGACCUCAUGGACAACAGUGAUUCCCUUUUCUUCAGUCUUCUUCACAGAUGGACUGCUUGGCUGCUCCACUUCAUCUUCAGCAUCUUGGACAACAUUAGCAGCAUCAGUUUUCAGAGGUACCAAAUUCUGGGUUUGUACUGAAGGUUGAAGCCCAAAUGAAAAGGGAGUUGUUUUGCUAAAGAGAGAUCCUGAGUUCCAUGAUGCACCAAAACUUGAAGAUGAAUUAGCCACAGGAGUAUCAGGUUUGGGAAAAGAUAAUCGACCAUCACUCUCCUUAUUUUCUGACUCUAGGGUCUUCAAAGCAGCUUGGGAUCCAUGUGCAGAUUUGAUCUCUCCAUUGGAUGAAUUAGCUUUCAGCCAAUUCACAAUGUCAGUAAACUUCUCCUUGAUAGUUGAAGAAUGGUUUAAGUAAUCUUGAAUUCCAUCUUCCCAAAGUUCAUCAGGGUGGUUCUGUAACUGCAUUUGGACCCAACUUGCGAACUGAGUAUUGA